rnacentral:rRNA from 1 species
GACGAACCGUGCGAACGUUGUUCGGAAUCACUGGGCUUAAAGGGCGCGUAGGCGGGUUUUCAAGUCUGUGGUGAAAGCCCCCGGCUCAACUGGGGAGGGUCAUUCGAUACUGAUCGACUUGAAGGCAGGAGAGGGUAGUGGAAUUCCCGGUGUAGUGGUGAAAUGCGUAGAUAUCAGGAGGAACACCGAUGGCGAAGGCAGGUCUCUGGGCCAUAACUGACGCUGAGAAGCGAAAGCAUGGGGAGCGAACAGG